rfam:Frankia sp. ETN1h contig_21, whole genome shotgun sequence.
GCCCGUGUAGCUCAGUCGGCAGAGCAGCCGCCUCUUAAGCGGCAUGGCGAAGGUUCGAGGCCUUCCACGGCUA